GCAUCUCUGAGAUGUUCGCCAGCGAGUCAGAUUCCCCUGAGCCGAUAUCUACACCCCCGGAUGCGUUCUGUAUAUUUAGAGUGUAUGCCUGCCUUCGAGUAGGAAACCCAGCAAGUAUACGCCGCGUCCACCUUGAACUUCAGGGUUCAAGGGUAAUGACAUGCAGCGGCAUCUUCGGAGUGUU
rfam:Acinetobacter sp. SFC ERR473936.12448_4_84.2, whole genome shotgun sequence.